rnacentral:rRNA from 1 species
CCCCUUUUUUUACAAAACAUGUCUUAAUGAUUAUUUUUAUUAAGUCUGGCCUGCUCAAUGAUUUAUUAAAUAGCCGCAGUAUUUUGACUGUGCGAAGGUAGCAUAAUCAUUUGUCUUUUAAUUGAAGGCUUGUAUGAAUGGUCGGAUGAAAAAAUGACUUUCUUUAUAUUAAUAGUUGAAUUUAAUUUUUUAGUUAAAAAGCUAAAAUUUAUAAAAGGGACGAGAAGACCCUAUAGAAUUUUAUUAUAUAGUAAUUACUAAUUUAUUGGUUAAUUAUUAUUUUUAGUUAUUUUAUAAUUUUGUUGGGGUGACAUUGAGAUUUUUUUAACUCUCAUAUUUUUAUUUUAUUUAUUUAUAUUUUAAGGAUCCUUUAUUAUGGAUUAUUAGACUAAAUUACCUUAGGGAUAACAGCGUAAUUUUUCUGGAGAGUUCUUAUCGAUAGAGAAGUUUGCGACCUCGAUGUUGGAUUAAAAUUAGGUUUAAGUGCAGAAGCUUACUAUCUAGGUCUGUUCGACCUUUAAAUUUUUACAUGAUUGGUUUUCCAA